rnacentral:rRNA from 1 species
GUGCCAGCAGCCGCGGUAAUACGGAGGGUGCGAGCGUUGUCCGGAAUCACUGGGCGUAAAGGGCGCGUAGGCGGCGCGAGCAGUCGAUCGUGAAAGUCCGGAGCUCAACUCCGGAUCGGCGGUCGAUACUCUCGUGCUUGAGCACUGUAGAGGCAGAUGGAAUUCCGGGUGUAGCGGUGGAAUGCGUAGAGAUCCGGAAGAACACCGGUGGCGAAGGCGGUCUGCUGGGCAGUUGCUGACGCUGAUGCGCGACAGCGUGGGGAGCAAACAGGAUUAGAUACCCUGGUAGUCCACGCCGUAAACGAUGGGCACUAGGUGCUUGGGGGAGCGACCCUCUGAGUGCCGGCGCUAACGCAUUAAGUGCCCCGCCUGGGGAGUACGGCCGCAAGGCUGAA